rnacentral:rRNA from 1 species
GCGAAAACUUUACAAUGCUGGCAACAGCGAUAAGGGAACCUCGAGUGCCAGGUUACAAAUCUGGCUGUCGAGAUGCCUAAAAAGCAUUUCAUAGCAAGGGCCGGGCAAGACCGGUGCCAGCCGCCGCGGUAACACCGGCGGCUCGAGUGGUAACCGUUAUUAUUGGGUCUAAAGGGUCUGUAGCCGGCCGGAUAAGUCUCUUGAGAAAUCUGGCAGCUUAACUGUCAGGCUUUCAGGAGAUACUGUUCGGCUCGAGGCCGGGAGAGGUGAGAGGUACUUCAGGGGUAGGGGUGAAAUCUUGUAAUCCUUGAAGGACCACCAGUGGCGAAGGCGUCUCACCAGAACGGACCUGACGGCAAGGGACGGAAGCUAGGGGCACGAACC